CUUGCUUCUCUUGAGAGCGGCGGACGGGUGAGUAAUGCCUAGGAAUCUGCCUGGUAGUGGGGGAUAACGUCCGGAAACGGACGCUAAUACCGCAUACGUCCUACGGGAGAAAGCAGGGGACCUUCGGGCCUUGCGCUAUCAGAUGAGCCUAGGUCGGAUUAGCUAGUUGGUGGGGUAAUGGCUCACCAAGGCGACGAUCCGUAACUGGUCUGAGAGGAUGAUCAGUCACACUGGAACUGAGACACGGUCCAGACUCCUACGGGAGGCAGCAGUGGGGAAUAUUGGACAAUGGGCGAAAGCCUGAUCCAGCCAUGCCGCGUGUGUGAAGAAGGUCUUCGGAUUGUAAAGCACUUUAAGUUGGGAGGAAGGGCAGUAAAUUAAUACUUUGCUGUUUUGACGUUACCGACAGAAUAAGCACCGGCUAACUCUGUGCCAGCAGCCGCGGUAAUACAGAGGGUGCAAGCGUUAAUCGGAAUUACUGGGCGUAAAGCGCGCGUAGGUGGUUCGUUAACUUGGAUGUGAAAUCCCCGGGCUCAACCUGGGAACUGCAUUCAAAACUGACGAGCUAGAGUAUGGUA
rnacentral:rRNA from 1 species